CCUACGGGAGGCAGCAGUGAGGAAUAUUGGUCAAUGGGCGCGAGCUUGAACCAGCCAAGUAGCGUGCAGGAUGACGGCCCUACGGGUUGUAAACUGCUUUUAUACGGGAAUAACGCGCCUUACGUGUGGGGCUUUGCAUGUACCGUAUGAAUAAGGACCGGCUAAUUCCGUGCCAGCAGCCGCGGUAAUACGGAAGGUCCGGGCGUUAUCCGGAUUUAUUGGGUUUAAAGGGAGCGUAGGCCGCAUGUCAAGCGUGCGGUGAAAUUUCCGGGCCCAACCCGGGCCUUGCAGCGCGAACUGGCGUGCUUGAGUCCGCGGAAAGCAGGCGGAAUGCGUGGUGUAGCGGUGAAAUGCUGAGAUAUGACGAAGAACCCCGAUUGCGAAGGCAGCUUGCUGCAGCGGAACUGACGCUGAUGCUCGAAAGCGCGGGUAUCGAACAGGAUUAGAUACCCGUGUAGUC
rnacentral:rRNA from 1 species